AGAGUUUGAUCCUGGCUCAGGAUUAACGUUGGUAGUACGCCUAACACAUGCAAGUCGAGCGGAAAGUAGUAGCAAUAUUACUUUUAGCGGCGAACGGGUGAGUAAUGCUUAUCUUACUUGCCGAUUAGUGGGGGAUAAAAUACCGCAUACCCUGGUUUCGACCAGGAAAGGGCUUUGCUUUGAAAAAAGUUUAGUUCGCUAAUUGAGAGGGAUAAGUUGCAUCAGCUUGUUGGUGGGGUAAUAGCCUACCAAGGCAAUGACGCAUAGCCAGGCUGAGAGGCUGAUUGGCCACAAGGGAACUGAGACACGGUCCCUACUCCUACGGGAGGCAGCAGUGAGGAAUUUUCCACAAUGGGGGCAACCCUGAUGGAGCGAUACUACGUGAAGGAGGAAGGUCUACGGAUUGUAAACUUCUGUUAGUGCGGAAGAAGGGCUAAACGCAAGUUUGGCCUUGACGGUACGCACAAAGAAAGCCACGACUAACUACGUGCCAGCAGUCGCGGUAAGACGUAGGUGGCGAACGUUAUCCGGAAUUAUUGGGCGUAAAGGGUGCGUAGAUGGUAUAAUAAGUUAUCAGUGGCAAAUCGAGGCUCAACCUCGUGGAAGCUGGUAAUACUGUUAUACUUGAGUGCAGGAGAGGUUAAUGGAAUUCCCUGUGGAGCGGUAAAAUGCGUUAGAUAUAGGGAGGAACAUCAAUAACGGCGAAGGCAAUUAACUAUCCUGCUACUGACAUUGAGGCACGAAAGCGUGGGGAGCAAAACGGAUUAGAUACCCCCGUAGUCC
rnacentral:rRNA from 1 species